CAGUGAAGAAUGGGAAUAUACACAUCAGAGGAGCUGAAGGAGACAGAAGACUACAAAACGACAACCCAAGUCCACUAUUUCUGUGCACUUAAACUACAAACUAAAAGACCUCUUCAGCUUCUUUUACUCUGGAUGGAGAGAAGACACACGUGUUUCAACAAAGACCCACACAGACCACUGCAAUCCACCUUACGGCAGGACCACAGAAGACAAAUCUAAUACAAACGCGAAGCCGGCGGUUCCUUGCAGCACAGAGGAUGCAAACUGAAGCGCCUGCGCGUCGAGGACCCUCCCCAGCUCUCGCUCCCUCCUUCCUUGGACAAGCGUGAUCCCAGCAACCGCCGGCCAGGCACUGGGCUUGGCUCGGCUUCAUAAGGACCAUGAAGCUCAGCGUCCACCAGGAGAGCCACACACGCAAGCAAGUCCGUUGCAAACACCCCCUGGGUUUCGGAGGCCCAGCCAGGACCCAGGAGGACAGGGUCGUGGACGUCUUUCCGGAGCAGGUGCACACCGAGCCUGGCAUCCAACAGAAAGCUUCGCUGCUCGCACUUUCCUCGGAAGGGACAAUGGGACGGCGGAGCGGGGGGGGGGGGGGGGGGGCACCGGGCGCGCGUGCGCGGGCCGGGGGAGCCGCGGUGGGGCUGGGGCGGGGGAGGACACGCACGCUGCAGCCCGGCCCCGGCCUCCACAGCCCCAGAGGCGCUGAGCCCCCGGCCCCCAGCACCCCCCUCGCCUCACCGCCCCCCCGCCCCCGGCCCGCGCACCCCGAGAACUGGCGCGCUUCCGCGCCCUGCGAGCAGGGGCACCCCCGAAGCUUCCCAGCAAAUGGGGCAUCUUCCAGAUGACAAUUUUAUUUCAAGAAAACGCAGACAAGACAUUUUUUCCACACUUGAGGCAGGAGAAAAUGUGUCCCUGGAGGUGCGACGCGGGGCCAGAGCUGGCAGGAGGAGAGGCGGGGAAGGAGGGGCUGCGGCGCCCGGGCGAGCUGGGGGCUCCGCUGGGUAACCCCCGUGCACGGUCCCUCCCGCUUCGCUCCUGCCGGAGCCCCUUCACUCGCACGCGGCCUAAGUAGGAAAAAGGUGGCUCGACGGGCUUGCAGUGACAAAGCAGGGGGGGUUGAGGGGCGGUGGGUCCUGCGGAGGGCGCGGACUGCAGGGAGCGCUGGGUGCGGCGCGGGAGCCAUGCAUUCUGCUCUGCUGCAAAGAAAUAAAAAAGGAAAAGCCUGGUGCCGCUGACACUUCAGCCGUGAGGAAGAAUGAGCAGGACGGCCUGUUGGGAAAGGCGGCGGGAGGAGACCAGGCGACGUGGGAGAGGACAGCCCUGGGCUUCCCAGGCUGCUGGCGCGCGGGUUUCACCUCCCGUUGGGGUGCGGGUGGUGAGCGGACACCGCUCCGAGGCUGGACUCCGGGAGACCCGUGUCGAGUCCGGCUGCCCCCACGCAAAGGGGACUGCCCGGGCCUCGGUCAAUCAAGACUUCACUCUACCGGAGAACUAGACAGGGGAGCAAAAGACUUCAGACGACACCUGUGACAGGCUCACUCGCUGCUGCGACUUCGGUCAGCCGUCUAGAUCACAGAAAGAGAACAGGAGCAGAAACAAAUCAUUUCACAAUGAAAACUCAUCACCUUUCGUGAUCUUGGAAAAACAGCAACACAGCAAAGCAGAGACUGGAAAACAGGAAAUAGAGCAUUACCUUUUAGGCAGACUAGAAGGGCACUGAGUGGUAUAUAGUGGCCAUAAAACUUGAUGUUUAUGUGAAUAUGUUGCUGUGAUAGCUUUUAUUGCCUAUAGAAGUUCAGAAACAAACCUCUGCUGAAAAAGCAUCAAAAAUAUGUACUUCUCCCUUAAAUGGAGGACCAAAAGUAAUCAGAAUAUGAGCCAUUCUGUAUUCUUUCACGGAGAAUCUAACUAGAGGAAAUAACCAGAAGACAUGUAUGGAAUGAGGUUUGGCAAACAGAGCAUGCCUGCCUUGAGUUACAGACUCGACCUUCUUCUAGUAAUUUCUACCUUCUCUAGAAGGGAAAACCACAUAAACAAGCUAAUUUAAAUAGGCUUCAAACGAGCACAGAAAGACCGAGUUCAAUUCUGGAUCAACGAAUAGAGUUCUAUGACCUGGAGGCCGCUGCCACAGGCCUUUCCGACACGGCCCACACCUCCCAUACUUCAGGCUUCCCAGCUGUGUCCGGAAGGCGAGAGGGGCCGGAGUCUUCCUUACAGACGGCCAGGGCUUUCCCGCUCUCCGUGGCUAAGAGUCUAAGAUUCUACGACACUGUACACAACGUUCCAUGGCACCCCAACCUGCUUACGCGGCGGCUUGUCCGCAAAGAUGGACAGUGAUGCUGGAAAGAGCAUGAAACCUGGAAUUCUAGCUUAUCAAGGUAAAGAAGUGUGACAAGCAUUAAUUGGUAAAGACAGAUUUUGGGAUGCUUCAGAGAACCGUGCACAGGAUAGGAAGGGAAGGUUUUUGUGAGGGACACCAAUCUGAGAGUCUCUCUCAGUUGGAACUGUUUUCUCGGUCCAGGGCAAAGUGACCAGAGAAAAACAAAACAUCUUUAAGCAUUAAAGCUUAUAUUUAAAUUUACUUAAAAACUUUUAUAUUAAGUUUUCUAAAAAUAAAGUCGUAAAUGUAACCUAAAAAAAAAUAGAUCUUAAUACAUCUAUAAGAUUUUUAAUUCCUUAUAUGCAAAUAUCCCAAGUUGUAACCAAUUCCUUUGGUUUUAAGGAGUUAUGAAUUUAGAAGUUAUGGAGCAUAGAAAAUUUGAGCCCAGGAGAAUGAAAACAUUUCUAAGGUCUCUGUCAGAAACAAGACAGAGGUAGGUGGGAGAAUGAAAAAAUACUUUUUAUCAAAAAAUUUGCUAAAACUACUUUGCAUUCCAAUAUUACUUUUAUUUUGGUAUUAAAAAAAGGAAAACUUUCUCAAAUUUUGUCCUUAAUAUAACUGGGCGCAUUUAACCCACAGGCUAUUCUAAACAAAGAGAGUAGUUUCUUAUUUCUCUCCUAAUAAAGAUGUAUUUUUCUCUGCACUUUCCCCCUCAUCCCCAGACCCAUUUAUUGUCAGGCAAACAUAUACAAAAAGUUCAGUGUGAUUAAGUUUAAAGACAGUGUGUGAGAUGAAUAAGGGAGAUACACUUUGGCACAGAAACAGAGAAAAGAAACCAGACAUCCCUGAGGCCUGCAGGCAGAAUAAUUUUUAUCUACCUUCUAGAGCCAAAGCCAGGCUGGCCACAGUCUUAUCAAGAAAACAGAUACGCUCUCAUCAUUCAAUGGAAGGAGCAAGGGAGUCACUUUUCUGCCACUAAACAUUAAUAAUUUGGUCUAAAUAAGAAUCUGUGGCCGACGCAUGCAUUUCCUGCUGGCUCCAGCGAGGCUUGCUGGGAGCGGCCGGAUUCCUCACUGGAGUCCACGGCCUGUGAGAGAUGUACGUGCAGCCUGGGGUUGGCAUGUCAGUGCUGGAGGUCUUGAUGCCCAGAGUAAUAAGCUAAGAGUAGACAUAAUUAUU